rnacentral:rRNA from 1 species
GGGGGAUAUUGCACAAUGGAGGAAACUCUGAUGUAGCAACGCCGCGUGAGGGAAGACGGUUUUCGGAUUGUAAACCUCUGUCCUUGGUGAAGAUAAUGACGGUAGCCAAGGAGGAAGCUCCGGCUAACUACGUGCCAGCAGCCGCGGUAAUACGUAGGGAGCAAGCGUUGUCCGGAUUUACUGGGUGUAAAGGGUGCGUAGGCGGCUUUACAAGUCAGGCGUGAAAUAUAUGGGCUUAACCCAUAGACUGCGUUGGAAACUGUAGAGCUUGAGUGAAGUAGAGGUAGGCGGAAUUCCCGGUGUAGCGGUGAAAUGCGUAGAGAUCGGGAGGAACACCAGUGGCGAAGGCGGCCUACUGGGCUUUAACUGACGCUGAGGCACGAAAGCAUGGGUAGCAAAC